GGGCGGAAGCCUGACGCAGCGACGCCGCGUGGGGGAUGACGGCCNUCGGGUUGUAAACCUCUUUCGCCGCCGACGAAGCCUUCGGGUGACGGUAGGCGGAUAAGAAGCACCGGCCAACUACGUGCCAGCAGCCGCGGCAACACGUAGGGUGCGAGCGUUGUCCGGAAUUAUUGGGCGUAAAGAGCUCGUAGGCGGUGUGUCGCGUCGGCCGUGAAAACUUGGGGCUCAACUCUGAGCGCGCGGUCGAUACGGGCAUCACUUGAGUUCGGCAGGGGAGACUGGAAUUCCUGGUGUAGCGGUGAAAUGCGCAGAUAUCAGGAGGAACACCGGUGGCGAAGGCGGGUCUCUGGGCCGAUACUGACGCUGAGGAGCGAAAGCUGGGGGAGCGAACAGGAUUAGAUACCCUGGUAGUCCACGCCGUCAACGUUGGGCGCUAGGUGUGGGGACCAUUCCACGGUUUCUGUGCCGCAGCUAACGCAUUAAGCGCCCCGCCUGGGGAGUACGGCCGCAAGCUA
rnacentral:rRNA from 1 species